AGCGAACGCUGGUGGCAGGCCUAACACAUGCAAGUCGAACGAAGUCUUCGGACUUAGUGGCGGACGGGUGAGUAACACGUGGGAACGUACCUUUUGGUUCGGAACAACUCAGGGAAACUUGAGCUAAUACCGAAUGUGCCCUUCGGGGAAAGAUUUAUCGCCAUUAGAGCGGCCCGCGUAAGAUUAGCUAGUUGGUGGGG
rnacentral:rRNA from 1 species